CAGGGAAUCUUGCGCAAUGGGCGAAAGCCUGACGCAGCGACACCGCGUGGGGGAUGAAGGCUCUUGGGUCGUAAACCCCUUUUGUCGGGGAAGAGAAAGGACUGUACCCGACGAAUAAGGUUCGGCUAACUACGUGCCAGCAGCCGCGGUAAUACGUAGGAACCGAGCGUUGUCCGGAUUUACUGGGCGUAAAGUGCGCGUAGGCGGUUUGUUAAGUCUCAUGUGAAAUCUCCCGGCUCAACUGGGAGGGGUCAUGGGAUACUGGCAGACUUGAGUGCGGCAGAGGGGAGUGGAAUUCCCGGAGUAGUGGUGGAAUGCGUAGAUACCGGGAGGAACACCAGAGGCGAAGGCGACUCCCUGGGCCGUGUCUGACGCUGAGGCGCGAAAGCGUGGGUAGCAAACCGG
rnacentral:rRNA from 1 species